GCUGAAAGCCUGUACAAGAAUUCACAUUAUGCAUUUCAAGCGUUCCAGUAUAGCCUUAUGCAUUAUGAUUAAGUACCGCUACACUUCAGUAGCUUCAUUGCACAGUUCUUGUACAUAUGUGCAUAAGUGUGUGCACGUGUAGAUGCUGAAAAAAGAAGUGUUCCAGAAAUUUGCUUCUUGCUCUCCUUGAAGCCUUUGGUAUGCGGAAAGUUGUUAAACGGUCUGUGUGCUUGACAUGGCUUGGCCCAUUGCCUUGCAGAUUGGUCUCAAAGAUGUGGUGCUUACAGUAUUUUUUGUUGGUUGCUUUCAUGUUUACCAGAGAGACCUUUGGCUUAUCCUUCUUUGAGUUUUCUCUAAAGUAUGCUGUAUUUACGCAAACAUGACGUGAGCUUUUUUUUUUUUUUUCUAGAAUAAUGCUUCAAAAAAGCAUGGUUCUUCUCCCUCUAGUCCUCGAUAAACUUCAUUCCCUGACUUUUAACAUAUGGCAGGCUGAACCUCCAGGUGACUAAUCUUAACGGAAAAUCCAGCCUCACAUUGGCAGGAGCACUUGCCUCAAAAUCGCAGGAGUGUAAGUCUGCAGUGAAGAGUGUAAUUGUGGCAAUGUUUUAAAGGAGUCAAGUUUAUUGCUUUUUUUUUAUAGAAUACGUGGUGCAAAAUAUCCAAGAAAUGUGUGGACCCAUAGCCAAAGGCUAGUAACGGGUCCAAUGAAAGAAAAAUAUAUCACUGAAUACUACACAGGCACUUUCAGUAAAUAUCAUGCAAUUUUUUGUAAGCUCAUGGUUUAGGUGUAGAAAAAGUACAUUACAAUUGAAGGGCUUAACUAAGUUUGAGGUUUCCACACAAAUAUUAAGUCAAGAGAUAUAAAAAAAUGGUGUAAACAGCAAGUUUUUUCUCGAUUAACAAAAAGAAUAACUGAUAAACCCGGCAUCGUGCGAGCAAUGUAACUUGGCACAAUAUGUCAAUUGGGGACAAAGUAACAAUUUUUACAGGUGUGCGAGACAUAUUUGGAUGCAGUGCAAGUAAUCAUAGCAUUGAAAGAAAAAACUUGAAUUUGGCCAGUAGGUGCCCCUAAUUGUUUUAAUUCUAAUGGUAAGCUAUUCCAUAUUUUAACUCCUGUAAAUUGUACCUGCCACUCUCCUUAAAUAUUAUUUACCUAGGUUCGGUUGAAGUUACCUUGCGUAAGGUUUCUUGUGGGACGGCAAGACGUUAAAAAAUGCACGAGUGAAAUGGGCGAUUAUUAUUCACUAUGUUGCUGAAGAAAACUGUAAUCAAAAAUCAAAUGUAAUCAAAUGGGAGGAUUUGCAAGGCACGAAACAAUGGCUUGGUUGUUUCGUAGUGUUUACUAUGAGUAAUAAUUCGAAGUGCACGUUCUUGAAGUCGUCGGAUUGGGUCAAGAUAGCUAUUGUACGUCCAGUACAGUAUAUUACAUGAGUGGGAAAAGUACAAGAUAACGCAAAAUGUCACGGUCGAAAUGCUCACGCGCCUGUAGUACACAACAUCCAGAUGCGAACAGCAGAUAGUUGAUAUGGUAGCUCCAGUGUAAAUUGUUGUCUAAAACAACACCGAGGUAUUUAAAUGAGCUUGUGUGUUCAAGCGCAAUGUUGCUAGUGACAAGUGUGACAUUAUCAUAGCUGAUUCUUUUUUCUAUGAAUGGAAUAUAGUAUAUUUGGUCUUUUUCGUGUUAAUAGCUAGUUUGUUAGCUGUAAACUAGGCAUUAAUCUUAUCCAAUUCAGAAUUUGCUAUAUGUUCCAUUUCUGAGAUGCAGUCAGCAGUAAAAACAACUGCCGUGUUGUCAGCGUACAUCACCGUUUCUGAGCUACUUAAAUUCUGCGGCAAGUCGUUGACGUAUAAAGAGAAAAGGAGUGGCCCAAGGACAGAUCCCUGUGGUACUCGUGUGGUUGUAAAUUGUAGUGAGGACACAGUAUUGUUGAUUGCUACCACUUGGUGACGGCCGUUAAGGUAACUUGAUAACAGUUCAUAGGUCUGGGCCCGGAAUCCAGAAUGCUGUAGUUUCUGGAGAAGGAUACUGCGAUCGACCGUGUCGAACACCUUUUUUAAAUCUACGAACACAACUGUUACAAUUUGGUUUCUAUCUAAGGCUGAGUUUAUUAAUUAUGUUAGUGACAGCAUUGCCGAUGUCGUCAAAUGUUUAGGCCGAAAUCCAUGCUGUUGUGGACAAAGUAUGUCAUAUUUAUUAAGAAAUUUAUACAUUCGACCUACUAUAAUUUUUUCAAAUAUGUUGUUGAUGGCUGAGAGCACUGAAAUUGGCCGAUAGCUAGAUGGAUCUGAGCGAUCACAUCCUUUAUACAUGGGAACAGCUUUGGCGGUUUUCAAAUGUGAUGGGUACAUUGUGACGCGCAAGAAGUCGUUGAAAAUAUUCCACAAAAUAGGAGAUAAGAUAUCUUAAUUUACUUUUAUCAGGCGCAUUGUAAUUUUAUCCAUACCAGUAGAUUUAUUAAUUGAAUAAGAAUAGUUGAUAUAACUUCAUAUAAUUCGAUGUCAUAAAUUACAAAAGUGUUAGAAACCCGAUUUGGGCCAAUUAAAGUGGUCUCCAUCUCCGGAAUGUCGGCAGCCAACGAAGGACCAAUAGCAUUAUAAAAGGAGUUAAAAGUUGCGGGUGUGUUCAUGUUUAAGUUGUCAGGAAGGAUGUCAUACAGAUGACCUUCCGAUAACUUCCUUUUUGGUCACUUUGGUGUCGCCAGAUGUCCGUUGAAUGAGCCAUGUAUAAUAGUUUUUUUUUUUUUUUCGUGUUCGCAUCAUUGAAACGGAUUUGUUACGAUAAAAUUUAAAUUGACCCCAAUAAUAUGUUAUUUUUGUUAUGCUUCCAUUUGCGGUAGUAAUAAUCCUUAGUUUUUAGUAUGUCAAGAAUUUCUUGCAUCAUCCACGGAUAAACGGGGACUUCAAGUGUGUAAGAACGCAUCUUGCGGGUUGACUCGGCUAGCAUUUAAGUAAGUGCAGCAAAGAGGUUAGUAAAUUUGGUAUUAACGUCGUCAUCGUACACGUCCCCAUUUCCCUUCGUCAGUGAGCCUGUUACACUCUGAGGUGUUUGCAAAUGAUAGCACUGGUGUCGCACACGGCGCAGCACCAAGGCAGGGACAGUCGGCAUGCUAGCGUUUACACGUAGCAGCACUAGCAUUGACACCGAAUGGGGUGUUCUUCAACUCGCACACCCGUGCCUGGAGGUGGCAGUACAGUGGCGAUGCUGUGAGGCGGAAGUUGGUGGGUUUCGAUGAAACCAGAGUAGGUGUUUACAUUGGCUUGCCCAUGCUGAGAAAGCCAAGGAAUGCCGUGUCGCUGCAGGGAAAUGGCUGAGAGCGCAUCGAAAGCAUCACAUGAACUUGCACACCAUCAAUGCAUUGCCAGAGUGUUGGGUUGAAUGAUGCUUUGAGGUCUAUGGGAUGUAGGCAAGGUAUGAAUAGUUAGUCGAAAGGGUGUGAUAGCUGAGCUACUACAUAGUGCAUGAAGGAGGGGAGAUGGAGGUGGUCAAGUGGUCGUCCAAGGUGUGUGCUUGAGGUGUGGCAUAGAAACGCAAGUUGCUUAACACUGAAUUCUGGCUGCCUUGAGCCAGUGACCUUUUGUAUUUCCAAGUUGUCUAAAGUGCCCCAUGAGGUAGCAUUCAUAGCCGCAUCAUAUUUGUGCAAAUGUGGUAAACAUGUGAAAUGCUUUUAUAUUUAGUGAUAACAUGCAUGGCACUAGAUCAGGAGCACAUGAUCGUUCGGACGCAUGCAUCAUUCUUAAGGUCGGUCUGAAUUAGAUUUUUUGGUGGUUCACGUUUUUCUUUUUUUCUCCAUGUACAGUCCACUUCCAAAUUCGACCCCGGCAGGACCUAUAAAAUUUAUUGAAUUAUCCGGCGGGUCAAAUUAAACAAGAUGCAUCAAAAAUGCCAAAACACCUCUGGUUCAUUAGGCAGUAUUUUCCAGUCUAACACACACCUGCGAAUCAAAUGCGUGUCCACUUGAAAGAAAGGCACGCAUUAGAAUUGGGUAAAUACCGUAAUUGGACAUUGUGAGCUACGGUUACUGCUUGAAAAUGUUUCUAGUGCUGGCUGAAAAUGGCUGUUUUCAACGGGUGAUGACGUAUGACGCGGUGACACCCUUACUGUCUCCUAAGCUCCGUUGAGACACCGCCACUAAAGGGGUUGCUAUGGAAAUCACAUGGGGGUUGGGCACGUGCAUGCUGACUGGCAAAGUUGGAUUUAUUCGACGAAGGCCAAUUUUAGGAUUGAAAUAAUGAAAGUUUGGGCCCAUAGAAAUGUAUAGGUGCUGGCCAGGACCUUCGGUUGGGAUCGAAUUAACGGUAGUCUACUGUAGUGCUGUUCAAUAUUGAUGAUUGUGGCAGCAAAGUAUUCUAAUUAAUCAUGGUGCUCUUUGGUCAAACUUGGCCCUUGUGCCAGAAAGACCUACAAAUCGGCAAUAUUUAUGAUGAUGAUUGCACACAGUGUAUAAGUUUUUUAAAUUGCUGUAAACUGCCACCAUACAAAGGAAAAUAACUUGCAAUGAAGCUGUUCUGUCGUGCGAUCAUCGCGGUGUACGGAAAUCAAGUCGGCUAUGCAGCGAUGUUACAACUCCUGUGUGUAUUUCGCGAGGCUUAUUUAUGUGGUAUGCACAUAUUUCCCUUCCCCACCCACUCACACUUUUUUACGCUUCAAAAAGUUUAUCUAGGAAACAGCAUUUUAUCAACGUCACUGCACUCAAAAAGUGAUUAAAAUUGUGGUUAACUGAGAUAGGGCCAGUGCUAAGAGUGCUUGAAAAGCAGUGUGCCAAAGUUGGCACAUAAUCUAUGCUAGUUCUGUGCAUAUCUGUGCACAAAACUCUUUGGAAGAUAGAAGUUGCCCAGAUACUUAAAUUUUCUUGUGAAGUGAUUGCACGCCCCUGAAUUGGGAGUGUAAUGCCUGGGUUGGGGACAGAAGUAUAGAGUACACACCUCAGAAUUCUUGCUGCUUGCAUGGGCCAUGAGGAAAGCUAAAUUUUUGACAGCUUCCACGUUCCAAAACCUUUUGUUUAGCAACUGUACAAGCAUGUGUACAAAGCUGUGCAUUUCUUUUGGUGCUUUCAUUUUUCAAGCUAUUUUCGUGUGGAACGGUGCUUGUUUUGUACCCAUAGCAACAGGUUGGAUCGCUAUAUUUCUUCUAAUGCAGUUACUGCGCUUUUUUUUUUUUUCACAUCUUUAGCUUCGGAUUUCUGCUGCUUGAAAGCGAUGUUUGCUUUUUUGCCUUUUUGUUCUCAUUUUAUUGGGAGGCAAUUGGGGUAGUGAAUGUGGGCAGCCGUUGUGUGAAUCUGGCUAUCCGAUAAAAGAAAUUUUGCUGUUUGCAGCUGUUGACUCUACAAGGAGCUGUUGCAUGCAUGUUUCUUUGUGGGAAGGCCAUAGCGGAAACUGGCGGUUGUGUUUAAGGAUCUUUGUAAUGGUUCUCAGUGAGUGGCCCAGGAACUUGUGUAGCAUUCUUGCCAAUCCUUUGCUCUCGCUAUCCACCAUUGUGGCUGUGAUUUGGUUGGGCGGAAUCCCAGUUUUCUUACUUUGUGAUGACCCUGGUGUCCCCAAUUCUCACACUGUGCAUAACGCUUCUCAUCUUGAGGGCCUUAUGAAAGCUUUAAGCAUGGGUUUCUCUGUUCCUCAGUGAAUAGUCGGUGGCCACCUGGAGCAUACAUUGAACGAAAAGAUGACUGCUUUUCUUGCCACGUUCAGAGGUUGGCAUACUGUGCAACAUUCUUAAUUAUGCAGUGUUGUGCUGUGUAAAGUCCAAGAUUUUUUUUUUUUUUUUUGAUGACACCAUGAUAAUGUGAUGUCUUUUUCGUUGUUCUUUUUCUGGUGGAUACUUGCAGACCACCAUUGUCAUGUGGUCAUUGUGUUUUGACUCAUUGUUGUGUAUUGUCAUUGCAAAGUCUGUAUUCUACAUUGUUUUUGUUUGUUGCGUAUCUUGUUUUAGAAAGUUGUUCCUUGCGUGGUUUUUAAUCAAUGCAAUUCUGUUUGGGCAUGGCAGUGGCUGAUGACUGGGACGCUGAGGAGCUUGUGCCCUUUAUGUGCAUAGACUGCUUGCUGUCAUAGUUAAGCACAAAAUGUUUGUUGUUCUUCCUGGUGUAGUACUCUGUGCUACUCAUGUGCACGCAAGUGUAUUGAUCUACUGGCUGCUGUUGCAGUUAGGGGUGCACGUGUAGCUGCAAUUUUGGAGCUGUUUCGAUCAGUCGUGACUGUUCCUCAGAGAGCCCUGUUCUUUAUUGUAGUCAGCUUUCGCAAGUAAUGCAUGUUUUGAAUUUAAAUUGCAGUGGUUGUAUAUGUGCACCAAUUAUACUAAUUGCUUGUUUUCAUGUUCUCAGGUCCACACACACCCCUUCCCUCCAGCCCCCUUUCCCACACACACACAUUGAGGCUUUUUCAUGAAAACUGAGGAACAUUAAUGGUAACUUGACUUUUACCAAUGUACAGGAAGAACCUACGUAAAAAUAAGCAACUUUCCCCACAGGUUGCACCCAUCUAGCUGGCUUCAACACUUUCCAACAUUAAUGCCGAUGUGUGCCUGACGGAAAAUUGCAUGUCAGGUGCAUCAGAUUAGUGGAGUUUCUCUUAAUUUACUGCCCCACUAUUGUUGGUGCUUGCUGUGAAAGCUAGAAACCAUUGUUUACUUGUGGUGUAUGGUGUAAAAUGCACGAAAUUGUGUGAAGAAAAAAAGAAACGGGAAUGGAAGAGCUGUUUCCAGUUCUGUCAUUUUUUUUUCUUCACUUAGUUUCACAUUUUAGACCACAAGAAAGUAUGAACCAAAUAGCUCAGCAACAAGUAGUAGUAGCAAGUCUAUUGUAUGACUGCAGCUACAUAGGACUCUUCCUUGGAUUUGGGCUCAAGUACAGUGAACUAGGGUAAAGUGCAGAAGCAGUGUAUAGUAAAGUACCGAAUGUGAUGACAAUUCUAUGUAGACUUGCGACUGUAUUAGCUCCCAUGCCUCACAUUUUUGGGGGUUUUACCACAUACUGCACGAAGUGACCUUACGUGACAUGUCUGCCGUCGGAAACGGUCAGCCCUGUGAACCGAUAUUUCUUCCAUGAUCUGCCAGCAACCUUCAAACCCUGAAUGAACAGUGUAUUUUCCUUUUUUGUAAGUCUGUAACACAGAGGCAAAGAUUUUUUUACAGAACUCAAUUUUGUAUGAGGCAACGAUGCAGCUGCCUUUGUGGCCAGUGUUGAGCUGUGCACCUUGACAGUGCAUGCUUUCCUUUUGUAUGCUGCACAGUAUGGGACGUCACAUUCGCAUGUGUUUGAUAAGCACCUAGGAUGUAAAUAAAUUAUUUGAUAUAUGA